rnacentral:rRNA from 1 species
CUUGCUUCUCUUGAGAGCGGCGGACGGGUGAGUAAUGCCUAGGAAUCUGCCUGGUAGUGGGGGAUAACGUUCGGAAACGGACGCUAAUACCGCAUACGUCCUACGGGAGAAAGCAGGGGACCUUCGGGCCUUGCGCUAUCAGAUGAGCCUAGGUCGGAUUAGCUAGUUGGUGGGGUAAUGGCUCACCAAGGCGACGAUCCGUAACUGGUCUGAGAGGAUGAUCAGUCACACUGGAACUGAGACACGGUCCAGACUCCUACGGGAGGCAGCAGUGGGGAAUAUUGGACAAUGGGCGAAAGCCUGAUCCAGCCAUGCCGCGUGUGUGAAGAAGGUCUUCGGAUUGUAAAGCACUUUAAGUUGGGAGGAAGGGUUGUAGAUUAAUACUCUGCAAUUUUGACGUUACCGACAGAAUAAGCACCGGCUAACUCUGUGCCAGCAGCCGCGGUAAUACAGAGGGUGCAAGCGUUAAUCGGAAUUACUGGGCGUAAAGCGCGCGUAGGUGGUUUGUUAAGUUGGAUGUGAAAUCCCCGGGCUCAACCUGGGAACUGCAUUCAAAACUGACUGACUAGAGUAUGGUAGAGGGUGGUGGAAUUUCCUGUGUAGCGGUGAAAUGCGUA